GGCUCUUCCCGUCCACCGGCUGUGUGACGUCACCGGCAGAGGGGCGGGACUCCAGCGCCCCCUGCUGGAGGCGCGAGCCCGUGCAGCACCACCGCUUCCCCUUCCCCUUACAGCCCUGAGGGAAGAUGGACGGGGGGGGCGGGGCAUGGCAGAGUCGGGGGCUCCCCGCGGUUCCCGCCCUGCCCGAACCCCCGGUAAUGAAAUCACUGAGUCAGUUCCCCUUGCACUCGGCGCUGAUAAACCCUGAAACUUGAGCCAGGAAGAGCUUGAUCACAUCAUUUCUCUUUCUCUCCACUGUGACCAUACUGAGCUCUUUAAGUGACACUUCUUGCUGCCAUAAGCUGUCCCCUGCAGUCAAUGGCAACGACUGUGACUGGAGCAGCUUUGAGAAAUCCACUGCAAUUUGAGCAUCGAGACAGGCUGAACACAUCUGUGGUGCUGGCUGAAGUGCUACAAAAUCCCUUCAGGGACCAAGGACUACAUGAAGUUUCCAUUCCAGACUUAAGAAUCACCUGGGGCAUGUCAGAAAUACCGGACAGGCAUCACUAAAGAGAGCUAGGAUUGCCAGAACCUUUGAAAGCCACCCGUGGUGACAUCAGGCAUAAAAGGCCAGAGCAUCAAGGAUUGUAAUAGAUAAAUUACAGGUAAAUACAACUAAGCGUUGUCACAUGGUUUUAGGUGGGAGAUCCAGCUAGACAACUUCUCUUUAGUACUUCUGUAUAACCUAAUGACACUGUUAUCUAAUCCAAUAAUUGCCAGUAAAACAGAACAAUUUAGAAAGCAAUUAAUUUCCCAAUGUCCAUUUUUGCAAAGCUAAUUUCAAAACACACAUUGCUGCAACUUCCAAAUAAGUGCACAUCCAAAAGCACUUAUUGUUCACUGCACUGACUGCAGGUGCCAACUAACAGCACCUGUUUGAAUUGAGCAAAACCAUAGACAAUGUUCAUUUCCUUACUGAAACUUGGCAGCUGGAGUUGAUUCUAUUAAAAUACAACCACUGGAAAGCCUUUUUCCACCCUUUUCUCCUGCAGCCCUGGGCUUCUUACCCAGCUGCAUGUGCAAAGCAGUACAACUCGGCAGUGCUUGCUAUGCUGUAAUGAAAAAAAGAAAACCAACACAACAACAAAAAAGUCCCCGCAAAAAUCAAGAGCUGCCCUGUAGCAAUUCUACUGGGGAAAUAGAGACUAAGGAACCUUCACUCACAUUUUACCUGACCUCUAAGACCCAAGAACUCACAGACACAAUGAAUGUAUCAGCACAGAGCAGAGCUGCAUGGGAUAAAAUACUUAUGGCUUCUGUUUUAUCACUGGACCUGUAACAAGGCAUGGUUAAACCUCUUCCUGAACCCCCUCAGUGCGGCCAUGCCAGCAAAGCUUAGCAGAUCAGCAGUAAUAGAAACAAAAUGCUUGGACACAUUUUCAGAAAUCCAUGUUAAUUUUCUUUUUUCUCCCUUAAUAAAGGCAGAAGCAGGAAAUGUAAAGGGAAUUCUAGCUGAAGCAACCUGCCCAGCUCCCAGCUGGGGCACUAUGUGGGCUGAGACAGAGGCUAUUUUAAGAUAAGGGAAGGCUGACAACCU